rnacentral:lncRNA from 1 species
GGGCAUUUGGAGUGCUAUCAAAUUAGUCAAGACUCUUCACAUAGACAUUUCAAAUUUAAUUACUUUGAAACUUAGUAGUCUAGAUAGUUUUUAAUUAAACGUGUAAACAUUGGGCCAAUUUUUGGCAAAAUAGUUUGAGCCCAAAUAGGAAACAUGACAUGACACCUAGGGUUUUGCAAAGAAGGUGGACCCCACCUCAUUUAGGAGGACACAUGGCCCCUUAUCUAGCUAGACCAGCCGUCACACAAAAGGCACUCUCAAAUACUCAUUUUAGGGGGUGAUUGUGCUGGAACGUUUUUAGACAAUGGUUUCUUUCUUUGAACAAUGUUCUUGGUAAUGGGUAUUGGUUGAAUGAAGAAGUAUUAUUCCCUUCCUUUUUAUGAGUGCGACAUCAGAUUUCCUACAAUUCACGGUGAAAGCUCUUUUGUU